rnacentral:lncRNA from 1 species
GAUGCAUGAUGUUGUUUGCUGAAUAAACCCAUGAGUUUUGCGCACAAAACAAGAUUUGCAAAACAGAAACAGACCCUAGCUCACAGUAAGUGUCCACUCCACAAGAAGUGGUUCUUUUUCUUCCUCUGUGUACACCUCAAAGUGCCCCUCAAGUUUGACCCCGUGACCCUCACUCCCAUUUACUUUCAGGUGGCUUCCUCAAGACAGGCUGGCAGAGCCUGUCUAGAAACACAGCUGGCUGGGAGCAGGAAUGGAGGUAGUCACACAUCCUUCCUCCCAGUCUGUGAAACUGCCCCCAGUCACGUGAAGAGGGCGGGCAGCCCCCAGAGUACAGCCCAACUACGUGUAUCCAACUGCACAGGCACACACAAGCACACACCGCUCCCUGGGCCCUGAGACUGCCUCAGGCACACUGUCUCACACACACACCCCUGCACGGUGAAGGCAGGGCCUCCUGAAGGCCCCAGACAACAGAGGGAGGCCUGCGUGAAGGUGAGGUGGCCAGAAUACCAAAGGACUUUAGACCUUUGUACCUCCCUACAACAAAAUUCUGCCUGGUGGCUGCCUCGUCCCCACACUUGGGAGGACAGUCCCCCAACCCAGAUGCACCUGAGGCUCCAGGCCUUCCCAGUGUCCAGGACAUCUGAGAGCCCAGGCUUCACCCACCCCAACACAUCUGUGCACCACCAAACCCCUCAGUAUCAGAGUAGGGGUGUACCUGGGGCUGAGUCCCAGAUGAGGGGCAGGAGAGAGGCAGCCCCAGAUGGGAUCCCAGCCCCCUUUCCCUCGGAGCCCUGGAGUGGGCCU